UGGGGAAUAUUGGACAAUGGGCGCAAGCCUGAUCCAGCCAUGCCGCGUGAGUGAAGAAGGCCUUAGGGUUGUAAAGCUCUUUCACCCGUGACGAUGAUGACGGUAGCGGGAGAAGAAGCCCCGGCUAACUCCGUGCCAGCAGCCGCGGUAAUACGGAGGGGGCGAGCGUUGUUCGGAAUUACUGGGCGUAAAGGGCGCGUAGGCGGGCUAGCAAGUCAGGGGUGAAAGUCCUGGGCUCAACCUGGGGACUGCCUUUGAAACUGCGAGUCUAGAGUCCGGGAGAGGAUGGCGGAAUUCCCAGUGUAGAGGUGAAAUUCGUAGAUAUUGGGAAGAACACCGGUGGCGAAGGCGGCCAUCUGGACCGGCACUGACGCUGAGGCGCGAAAGCGUGGGGAGCAAACAGGAUUAGAUACCCCCGUAGUCC
rnacentral:rRNA from 1 species